rnacentral:rRNA from 1 species
AAGGGCAAAAAAGGGGGGGGGGGGGGGGGAGACCGGGUUUUUAUACCCCCCGAGCCUUUUNUUGACGCACUGGCUCGCUUUUUUCCCCCUUUUUUUUUCCCUCUUCCUCUUUUUUCCACGCCUUCCCACAUGUGUUGGGAGAGUGGAGGAGGAAGUGUGUGUGUAUAUGGUAGAAGCAGCGGAAGGGGAAACAUCGUCAGGCUACCUACAGCUGCCGGGGUAUGGUCACGGCUCCUCACAUGAG